AGGACGAACGCUGGCGGCGUGCUUAACACAUGCAAGUCGAGCGGUAAGGCCCUUUGGGGUACACGAGCGGCGAACGGGUGAGUAACACGUGGGUGACCUGCCCCCUACUCUGGGAUAAGCCUGGGAAACUGGGUCUAAUACCGGAUAUGACUACAUGUCGCAUGGUGUGUGGUGGAAAGUUUUUUUUCGGUGGGGGAUGGGCCCGCGGCCUAUCAGCUUGUUGGUGGGGUGAUGGCCUACCAAGGCGACGACGGGUA
rnacentral:rRNA from 1 species